GGAGAGGUGGCCGAGUCCGGUUGAAGGCGCUCGACUCGAAAUCGAGUAGGUGGCUAAUAACUACCUCGCGGGUUCAAAUCCCGCCCUCUCCGCCA
rnacentral:tRNA from 1 species